GACGAACGCUGGCGGCGUGCUUAACACAUGCAAGUCGAACGGAAAGGCCUUCCUUUUGUUGUGUGCUCGAGUGGCGAACGUGUGAGUAACACGUGUGUAACCUGCCCUUUACUUUCGGAUAACUUCUGGAAACUGGGGCUAAUACCGGUUAUGACCUCCUGCUGCAUGGUGUGGGUUCGAAAGUUUCGGCGGUUGGGGAUGUAGUUGCGGCUUAUCAGCUUGCUGGUGGGGUAGUGGCUUACGAAGUCGUUGACCGGUAGCCGACCUGAUAGGGGGGACGGAGACAUUGGGAAUAAGAUAAGGGGAAGACUCAUACGGGAAGCAGGAGUGGGGAAUAUAAGACAAUGGGAGGGAGGCUGAUGCAGCAACGACGGGUGCGGGAUGACGGCCUUCGGGUGGUAAACAGGAAUCGCCUGUGACGAAGCGUGAGUGACGGUAAUGGGAAAAGAAGCACCGGCUAACUACGUG
rnacentral:rRNA from 1 species